AACGCACGAGACCUGCGGACCUGCGGAAGGAUCAUUACAAAUCUUUAGAGGCCCAAUUUUUUUUGGGUCUUAUAUGUCCGAAGCAGCAAUGCUUCGUUACAUUUACGCUUGUAUGUUUGACAGAGUUUAGUGUGAUUUUUAAAUAUACAAAACUUUCAACAACGGAUCUCU
rnacentral:misc_RNA from 1 species